rnacentral:rRNA from 1 species
UACGUAGGUGGCAAGCGUUGUCCGGAUUUAUUGGGCGUAAAGGGAACGCAGGCGGUCUUUUAAGUCUGAUGUGAAAGCCUUCGGCUUAACCGGAGUAGUGCAUUGGAAACUGGGAGACUUGAGUGCAGAAGAGGAGAGUGGAACUCCAUGUGUAGCGGUGAAAUGCGUAGAUAUAUGGAAGAACACCAGUGGCGAAAGCGGCUCUCUGGUCUGUAACUGACGCUGAGGGUCGAAAGCGUGGGUAGCAAACAGG